GUGGUCACUUUGGCAGCACAGAUACUCAGACUGGAACAAUACAGAGAUGAUUGGCACGGAGCUGCCAAGGAUGACAUGCACGCUCAUGAAGCAUUUUAUCCUUUU
ensembl:snRNA U6 U6 spliceosomal RNA